rnacentral:pre_miRNA from 1 species
AAUUUCAGCUGAAAAAUUCAUAAACAUAAAAAUUGUAGAACUCAUCAAGAGCUACAACUUUUAUUUUGAUCAUUUCUUCAUCCGACAAAGUAAUAGUAACAUUGUUCGUAAAAUUUACAUAUAUAUCUUAGAGCUUAUGAAACCAUAUGCGAGAUAUGUUAAUUUUGUAAACAAUGUUACUAUCGCUUUGUCGGAUGAAGAAAUGACUAAAAUAAAAGUUAUAGAUAUUGAUAAGUUAUACAACUUUGUUGUUGAUGACUUUUUCAGUUGAAAUC